GUGGCGGGGGCUGAGCUCGGGCGGGGCGCGCUGCCGCCCGCCGAUGGCGGAGCGCCAGGCGGUGCUUUGCUGCCGCGGGCCGGGAGCUGCAGGAGCCGCCCCGGGCGAGCGGCGCCGGGCGCUGCCGCGGUCACUGUGCGGCGGCUGCCCUCGGGCUGGCGGAGGCGCGGGAGCCGCCGAGCUGCAGCGUCUCCCUCGGGCCGCUGCCGCUGCUGCGGGCGGGGGCGGACGAGCGGCUGCGGAGGCGGCUCCGCGGCGGGCUCAGCCUUGCGAGCAGAGAGCGCUCGACAUCGCUGGCAUGACACGGCUGCUGAGUGCCUCAGUGCUCGUGGCUCUUCCUUCCACGCAAACAGAUGGAGCGGCAUCGCUGAGCAGUAAAACACAGCGAUGGCCCGGAGAAUGGCGAGCGCAAGGAGCGCCGGGCAGGAUCCUUCUGAUGGCACAGGGUACUCAGAAAAUAUUUUUCCCUUAGAGUCCCACUGAAACAUUCUCCGUGCAAUGUCCGUUAAGUGCCAGGAGUCUGGAGAAACUGGAGAAGAGCCCAAGAGACAUUUUUCAUCCUGAGAUACAAAAGGAUUUAUUGGUUCUUGAAGGGCAAGAGGGAUUGGUGAAUUUUAAAUUUGGAGUCCUCUAUGCUAAGGAUGGUCAGCUUACAGGUGAUGAAAUGUUCAGUCAUGUAUUUGCUGGAGCUCUGCUUACCCAAGCUUUGGGUAAAACAAGCUUUGGGUUCCUUCUGUCCCACUGGGUGUUGCCCAGUUUGGUUGCAUCUGGUGAAAUUCAGCCUGAGCCCUUACAGAACCAGCUCAAACCACGUGAGAGCCAUUCGCAGCUCUCUCAGGACACCCGGAGGAGGAUGGGUGACGUUUCUGAGCAUCUGGCAAGUGUACUUCUAUCAAAACUCGGCCUGUGCAAUUUCUGGGGAAAACCCUUCUGUAUCCUGAAGGGUUCCUCAAACUCUGUUGAGGAUCCAGUUAGCAGUUGCUCACCUGGAUGGUUCCAGCUCCUCAAGCUAACACUUGUACUCUUGCCCUGUAGUUUAGAUCUAUUGUAGUUUUGUUAUUUUGCAAGAUUUUACGUCUUUGGACAGUAACGUGCAUUUCACUCUUUGGAACCUCUUGGAUCAUUCUUUGGUGCAGCACCACCUAAUGGGACACUUGGCUGCUGUGCUGAAGGGCUUGGUUACUGGAAUUGUAAAUCCCGGAGAGUUUGUAAGUCUUCUGUCCCCAGGGAGGUGUCACGCUUUGUUCACCGUUGCUCUGUUUGUCGGGUGCUGCUUCUCGUCGGAGGUAUUAACUUCAAACUGCCCUGUUCUUUUUUUAACUUUUUUUCCUGGUUCUCUCCGUAGGGCAGGGAAGGACUCUCGUAUCCCGGUCGUGAGACUCAGCGCUGCCCGAGAAGAUACAGAGACUGUAAAAAUCAUAAGGAGCAACUAGGACUGCAGAGGAAACAAACUGGAGAGAACAAAAGGUCGUGCUCUGAUGCAUUUACAGAAGCCAUGGCAGGAGAGAGUCAGCUGCUGGAGAAGAGGAGACAGUACUAUCCCUGUGCAGCACGGAACUGUGCUACUGCUGUGUCAUCAGCUGUGUCUGCACUGAAAGUAGCCACCUUCACUUGUAGGUAGCUCCUUGGUGCUUUAGGACACGCUGAGGGAUUUAUUCCUUUUGGGAUCCACGAUGAGAAUUCCCAAGAGAGGUAGUAGUAAUAAGGUCUGAGAUUGGAAAAAAGCCUGUGUCCUUGGAAUGUUGUUGUUGUCGUCAAAAGUUAAUUUUUCCUUCUUUCUUA